rnacentral:rRNA from 1 species
ACGGCUCAUUAAAUCAGUUGCGAUCUACUCGGCGUUCCGCGCCGCCGGAUAACCGUAGUAAUUCUAGGGCUAAUACGUGCGAAGCGCCCGAAGCCGCGAGGCGACGGGCGUUCUCGCCGGAUGUAGGAACCGACCCGGGGACCGCCGGGGCAACCCGGCGCCCCCGAGACGGGGCGAACCACGGUGAAAUGACGGAUCGUCGGCCCCGCGCCGGCGACUCGCCGAAUGAGUUUCUGACCUAUCAACUCGAGACGGCGGGGUAGAGGCCCGCCGCGGUAACGACGGGUAACGGGGAAUCAGGGUUCGAUUCCGGAGAGGGAGCCCGAGAACGGCUACCACUUCCAAGGAAGGCAGCAGGCGCGCAACUUACCCUAAUCUCGAUUCGAGGAGGUAGUGACAAGAAAUACCGAUGCGGGACCCUACGGGUGCCGCGUUGGAACCCCCCCCCGU